GAUAAAAAAAAGGCCUCAUAAAAGCAGGCCUGCGCUGUUAUUCCAGUGGCUGGCCUGGUCAGGCUAGCCCUUUGCAAGAUGCCAUGUGAAAGCAAUCCUGGUGUGAGCAGCUGGUUAACAUAACAAUCUAGUCCUGGGUGAGAAACAACCAGCACCUGUAUAAACUGGUUUUACACUGUUAGAUAGUUUCCAUUUUUCUGUCUCUCACUGAUAACCUUCCCUGCACAUCCACACGGGAGGUUUGAGUGACCAAUAAAUACAGGGUAACAACUUGUUACUAAUCAAUAUGUAAUUGGCAAGAAAGCUACUGACAGAGUCACGCAUGAGGCCUGUAAAAUUGUAUAAAAAGGAGUAAUGUGAAUAAAGAAGGGGCUUUUUCCACCAUGAAGAAAAUGGUGAUUUAUUCCCACAUGUGAUUUAUUCCACAGGUGACACCAAGCUGAGGGUGCAGGGACACCCCCGAGGGAUGGGGCCAUCCAGAGGGCUUUAGGUUUUCCUCUGGAAUCUGUGAAACUGAGAACAGUGCCUGCAACCACGUCCUGAUUGAAGCUCUCCAUUGACAAACUCUCACUUUUAAACUCUCACAGUGUCAUUUGACGUGGGAUCAAUGCUUGUCAGAGAAAUUUAUAAAUAGAAAGCAAUUUUAGCUCUGUCUUUGUAGUCCAGCUCGUGUGAGAAACUCUGAGCUUCUGGACAAGACUGACUGCUCAGCAUGUUUUGGUGAGGCAUCACUUCCAGAGCAGAGAGCCUCCCAAGUUUAGAGCCAGCUCAGCCACAUGCUGCAGGCAGCAGCUGAAGAAUGAAUUUUUGUGCCUCCCUCUAACUGAAGACACAAUUGACAGAGGCAAAAAGGGAGGAAAUUUUAAAAUGUUUCUUUUUUAAACACACGAGCUGUCCCCUAUUGUAUUCUCCUCUCCUCUUCUUGUUGCAAUUAUUUCUGCAAAUAUAGCACCAGGCUUUGGGACUUGGAAGAGCACUUGAAGUUUCAUUGAUUUUCAUCUACAAGAGGCAUAAUCACCCAUGAAGUAACAGAAAACCCUUGAGGAAAAGCUUAGAGAUCAGCAAUGAGAAAAACACUAAAAAUUAUUAAACACCUUGUUAAUAUAAUUGGAGAUGAAUCUACAAUACCUGAAUAUUCUCUGUUUAUUUCUCAUUUCUGUUUCUUUUAACAUCUUGUUUAAUUUAUAUUUCCAUAAGGCUACUCGCUAUCAUAUUCUUUAUAAAAUAUAUGUUACAAAAACCCUCAAACCAAUAUAUACAAUUUCUUUUUGCUGAGUAGUGACCAGAGAAUACACAUCAUUAAAACAACCUUUCUACCAGCUGUA